AAUUCAAUUCACUCCCUAAAUUGAUAUCUGCACCGCACUCUAUUCUUCUCCACCAUCAUACUAGGGACUUAGGGUUAGGGUUUUGCGCGCUCAGGGUUCAAACCCUAUGGCCAGGUACAGAAGCCGAAGCAGAAGCUACAGCCCUCGUCGGCGCAGCCGGACUCCGCCGCGUGGACGCAAGCGAUACGACGACAAGCCGCGUGAUCGACACCGUGACAGUAGGUCUCACAGAGACCGUAGCUCACCCGCCCCUUCUGGCUUGCUCGUUCGCAAUCUCCCUCUCGACGCUAGGCCAGAAGAUCUUAGGAUCCCAUUUGAGCGAUUUGGCCCGGUAAAGGAUGUGUAUCUUCCAAAGAAUUACUAUACGGGGGAGCCACGGGGUUUUGGGUUUGUGAAGUACCGUUUUGGUGAGGAUGCAGCGGAAGCAAAGCAACAAUUGAAUCAUACAGUUAUUGGUGGGCGUGAGAUAAGAAUUGUGUUUGCUGAGGAGAAUAGAAAAACUCCUCAAGAAAUGCGCACAACUACCCGCGUAAGUCGACAUGGAGGAAGCUCCAGAAGGAGAACUUCACCAAGGUCCCCAAGACGGCAAUAUCGUUCUUACUCGCCGUCACCAUCACCAUCACCUGUUAGGCGUUACUCAAGAUAUAAUUUAAAGACUUUUGGAUUAGUAAAGUUUAAUGAGAAAAGAGAUCAUAAAAGUGACGGGCAACUUCUUUACCUUCCACCAAUGGUCUCCAUAAGUACUAUCUGUAUCCACCAUCAACUUUCAUCCACAAAUGGCAUUGGGUUCCUAUUGUUAUGACUUUGGUUUGUGAGACUUUCUACGACCGACUGAACUGACAAGCUAACUGGGUGUUAGAGAUGUUGGAAUCUUUACUAAUAUUUAUUUAUUUUUCCUUCUUAUAUUAGCUUAAGUAAGUUUUAACGAGAAAUUUGUUAAGUUUGAUAUCUUGUUUUGCAUAUACCAUACAGUAAAGAAAGAAUAUAAAGCUUAUAGUUGGCCAAAGAAAGAAUUCAUCUACAAAGAAACGAAGCCAUUCAAAGUUCUUACCGGUAGAGUAUGGUGACAUGUUGAAGGAAAAGAUAUUAUCUGGUUUUAGAAAGUUGGGGCAAAGUGAGCUAUGAAGUUGUCAGAUGCUGAUCAACCAGUACUAGCCUAACUCUUGAGUGUUUGGACCAAGUGUCAUAUUUUUUGUUCAGAACCCUGUAAAGGUUCAGGGACCGUCGGGCUAAGGAUGAUUAUCGCUCGCCAGUGCAAUCUAGAUCAAUUUCACGAUCUCCCUCACCACGGGAUGGAAGAGACUACAGGAGGUCCCCAAGUCCUAGAGAGAAUGGUCGAAGUCCUCGUGAUGGUAGAGACUACAGGAGGUCCCCAAGUCCCAGGGAGAAUGGUCGGAGUAUUCGUGAUGUGAGGGAGUAUGCAGCCAGCAGAUCAAGGAGUCCUAGGGGUAACAGUUGCAGUCCACCAAGGUCUUGUUCGCAAUCCUACAGUCCUCGCUGAUGCCUGUCGGGUAUGUUGGUUGCUGCUUCCAAGUGUACUCUGAGCGUGGUUAACUGGAUGAUAUGCUUUAGUAUUCUCGAAGAUCAUGAAUGUUUGGUAAAUAUGAGUUUCGGACCAUAUCAGUUUGCCCUAUGGAUUCAAAACUAUUCGUAUGUUCGAGUCAAAUGGAUCUAAGUUGUAUGGAGCUUAAUGUGACUUGUACAAUUGUUUGAAAAUCAAUUUUCCUUUUCCA